AGAAUUUUAAAUUCAUUGAAACCCCAUGUAAGAGAACUUAGAGGUGACAACUAUUGCUAGGGUACAUUCCGUGUACCUCUUUCUUUCUGCGUGCCCAGUCAAUAAGCGUUCUGCUAACCAAGCUUUAAAGCCUGCAAAUACCCAGAAUCCUCUUAGUUUCAAAAUCCAUAAAGAUAAAUGGGUUUCUAAGUUAGGAAAGUUCCCCUCUGCAAGUUGGAUAUUUGACCUUCAUGCAUGGAUAUAUCUAUAGCUGACAUGCACUAGAGAAUUAGGCACUCAUUUUUUCAAGUACGAAACCAUGUGAGGGAAACCUUACAAAAUAAAGUCCAACCAGUCAUAUCAUAUGGCCUUACUCUUGUUAAAUCAAAUAUGGAAACCAGGCUGCAAAAGCUGGGGCAGCGUACGUGACAAGUGGCUGUGUUUUCUUACUAGUUAUGUUGCGCGCACUUCUUUCAAAAUAUAAGAUCGUUAUUGACUUUUUGAAGUUAACUCAAAACAUUUUAAUUUUAAUUAAUAAAAUAAUAAAUAUUGUAAACAAUUUAAAUAAUAUAGUAUUAUUGGUUAUAAGAUUUAUCGUUUCAUAAUUUUAAACAAAUAUAUUAUUUUUGAGUUGAGAAUAUCUUAAAUUGACUUUUAAAAAUUAAUAAUUAGAAUGGAAGAGUAUAUACCAAAUAAAUCACAUGUGUAUUUAGUAUAUAAAUCUAAUGUUUUUAUUGUAUUAUCAUUGUUUUUCUUUUCAUAAUGUAAUUGAUUGCUCGAUCAUUUUCUUCCCGCAACCAAUAUAAAAUACAUUAUGUGUAAUUGAUUACAAAUGUGCUACACUCGUUUUGUAAUGACUUUCUAUAUAUUAAGAAGUUGAAUUAUUGGUUGGAAUGGCUGCCUCUUUUAUUACACGAGGACAGUUUUGCCAAUCUAACAAGUCAUACAUAUCACUAUAUAUCAAGUCAGGAAAUUUGAUUUCGACUUAUAUUCCUCCUUGUAUUAAUUAAGCCUUAAUUUGAUUAAUUAACAACCUUAACAUGCGGCGUGGUUGAUUAUAUGACUUCUUUAUGUUUACUUAAACAAAAUGAAGUUUUUUGUGCUCGAAGAAGAAGAAGGAAAUGUAGUGAAGAUUUAUUUUAAAUAACUUGAAGAUCUUAUGAGAGAUCAAGCUGAUGAUAUUGCAAAGAUCUUAUUAGUUUGCAAUCUAAAUGUAGGAUUUGACUCCCCUCUAUUACACUAGUUCUCUUAUACAUCAGUUAUUUGAUCUAAAUAAUUUUGUUAAUAAUUAUUAAAAUAUGUUAAUAGAUAAUUAUAUUAAAAUUUAAAUUAUUAAAAAUAUUUUUACCAUUAAAAAUUUAAAAGAAAAAUAAGAAAUAAAAAGAGAUACAGUUAGGGGACUUGAUUCAUUUAAGAUAGGAGGGUCUCAAUCUCGUUAGACACGAGCUCAGCGAUUUUUCACCAAACUAGUGUCGGCCACCAUUUAUAUAGUAGUAUUACAGUAUUACUAUUACUCAAGGAGAUAUUUUUGUUUUAUGUACUUGCCGCAAUGAUAAGUUAAUUAUAUAUGAUAUAUAUUGUUGGGGAUUUUUUUUAAUAAUUCAAGUUUUUAGAUAAUUUAGUUACUUAAUGUAAUAUAAGAGUGGGUUAUCCUUAAACUUAAUUAAAUACUUUUUUUAACUUUUAUUUUUAUCCAUUUGCAGACCAUUUUUAAGGGUCAAAGUUACUCAUUUCUUAACUAUACUAGUACCACUCAUCAAUUAGGUCAAUAGUUAUCCGUGGUUUACUAUAUUUCUUUCGGACUUGUCUUGUGACUAGUUUUUUAUGAGCUUCCUAAUCUUGUGUGGGUCUCUUUAUAUUCAUUAGAUCCAAUUAAGUGCAACCCUCAAUAUAUCGAGUUACACGUGAGGAGAGUGUUAUAUCUUAUCUCACAUCGAAUACCUUAAAAAAAAUGUCUAGUAUAUAAUGAGUUGCGUUAACUCUUCUUAUUGUCAAUUGGUUUUGAGUUAAAGCGCUUAAUAUCUUUGUAUACUAGACUUUAUACCCAUUUUAUAAAUCUAACAUGGAGGACACAUUAAUUUUAUAAUUAAUUUAAUAGUGCAAAUACAUUUUAAUUUGUCCAUUCUCUAUAAAGUUGCAGUAUUAGAUAUUAUAUACAUUGUUAUUGACUCUUUCUAAUAGCCUAAGUUUUUAAACGAGUUGAUUACUUAACAAAUUUUUAGCUUUGUAAUUAUGAUAUUAUAAAAAAAAUUAUGAUGAUAAAUUAAUAUAUAUAUAUAUAUAUAUAUAUAUAUAUUAUGUGUUACUUUCAAUAAGAAUAAGACUAUAUUUAUUAAAAUUAAAAAGCAAUGGUAGAUAAAACUGUUCUUUAAUCAGAUGCAAUAAUUGUGUAGCAUAAUAUUGAUACUUAUUCCCAUAAUGCAGAUGGGAUAUUUCAUCCGCACACGCAUAAAUAAUUAUGUGGAUAAUAUAUUUUAUUCGCAUAAUUAUUAUGCGGAUGAGAUAAAUUUUAGAUCAUUUGAUAUUUUUUUAAACAGUUAGAAAUAAGUUGGAUAAGACUCUUUUCUAAUUAACUUUGGAUAUGGAUCAUAUAUAUAUAUAUAUAUAUAUAUAUAUAUAUAUAUAUAUAUAUAUAUAUAUAUACUAGCGUUAAUCCGUGCCUCCGGCACUAUUAAUACUCGUGUAAUUAUUUAAUACCUAAAGAUGAAUUUAAAUGAAAAAUGUGAGUUACAAUGUUUAAAUAGUAUACAUUUGAUAAAACAUAUAAAGGGUCUGGGUCGGAAAUAUACGCGGGUUGACCCUGAAACCCGUGUGUUUUUGCCUUGGUCCGCUCCUUGGUCCGUUCUUUUGGUCCGCUUUAGAUCCUCCCCGUAUAUAUAUAUAUAUAUAUAUUCGUUAUCAAGAAAUCACCAAAUCACUAGUAUGUAGUUGCCAAAUGGUGGUUAGAAGAAUAUUAUGGUGAUGCUACAAUAGUGAGAUUAGCUAGUGUGCUAAAAAGUCAUACCUCUAGGUAAACAGUCGGCACCAGAAUGAGUUUAUUUCGGGGAGGCGAGAUAUCCAGGUGGCAUUCUUCGGGACGCAAAGAUACAUCUCCGGUUGCGCAUGAGAGAGAUUGGUCCGGCAAGUUUGAUUGGACGGAAACUGGUUGACUAGUUGAAAAAUCCUAACAUUAAUUUGAUCAGAAGAUGAUGGGCGGAGAUAAUUAUAUCAAUAGUAUGGCAAUGAGUUCUAAUUCUGGUAUACAAUCUUGUUUUAUUCUCCCUUUAUUUCAAAGUUGAGAAAUUUUUCUAAAAUGGCAACUUACAA
rnacentral:lncRNA from 1 species